GACGAACGCUGGCGGCGUGCUUAACACAUGCAAGUCGAACGGGAAGGCCCUGCUUUUGUGGGGUGCUCGAGUGGCGAACGGGUGAGUAACACGUGAGUAACCUGCCCUUGACUUUGGGAUAACUUCAGGAAACUUGGGCUAAUACCGGAUAGGAGCUCCUGCUGCAUGGUGGGGGUUGGAAAGUUUCGGCGGUUGGGGAGGGACUCGCGGCUUAUUAGCUUGUUGGUGGGGUAGUGGCUUACCAAGGCUUUGACGGGUAGCCGGCCUGAGGGGGUGACCGGCCACAUUGGGACUGAGGUGCGGCCCAGACUCCUACGGGAGGCAGCAGUGGGGAAUAUUGCACAAUGGGCGGAAGCCUGAUGCAGCAACGCCGCGUGCGGGAUGACGGCCUUCGGGUUGUAAACCGCUUUCGCCUGUGACGAAGCGUGAGUGACGGUAAUGGGUAAAGAAGCACCGGCUAACUACGUG
rnacentral:rRNA from 1 species